rnacentral:rRNA from 1 species
AUCAGCGUACUUCGACAUAUUAAGAACUUUCCAGAGAUGGAUUGGUGCCUUCGGGAACUUACAUACAGGUGCUGCAUGGCUGUCGUCAGCUCGUGUCGUGAGAUGUUGGGUUAAGUCCCGCAACGAGCGCAACCCUUUUCCUUAUUUGCCAGCACUUCGGGUGGGAACUUUAAGGAUACUGGCCGUGACAAACUGGAAGAAGGGGGGGACCAACUCAAGUCCUCAUGGCCCUUACGACCCGGGCUACCCACGUGCUACAAUGGUCGGUACAAAGGGUUGCUACCUAACGAUAGGAUGCUAAUCUCAAAAAGCCGAUCGUAAUCCGGAUUGGAAUCUGCAACUCCACUCCCUGAAAUCCGAAUCCCUAGUAAUCCCGGAUCAAAAUGCCCCGGUGAAUACCUUCCCGGGUCUUGGACACACCGAA